rnacentral:lncRNA from 1 species
GUAUUUCCGCCGGCGCGAAACGAGCGUAGCUUCCUUGUCGUGUGGCCUCAGUCCUUCGCCGUCCCUCGCCGUCCUUCGCCAUCGCACGCCACCGCACCCCAUCUCUCGAAAUCUGCAGACAUCUUGAUUUUUCCCACGCUGUCUGUCAGGUCUCCGCCGCCACUCGACGCCAGGGCGCCGGGCCUUGUGGGCUGUGCUGCACCUCGGACGGCUUCGCACCAGCCAGCGCCCUCUCUCUCCUGCAGCACUCUGAUCUGCACCCCCUGAGGGGCUUCCACUGUCCGCGGGGUGAGAAUGCCCCUGGGAGUGUCACAUGACUGCCGCCCCAUGUGUGUGAGAGGCGUCCUCUGGGAGAGCAUGGAUCCUGAGGUCCCAGGAUUGUCAGCUGACCUCUGUCCUGUGUGCCCAGUGGCCCCAGGUGACGUGUCUUCAAGAAGAGGCUGAGCUGCGGUGCUUGUAAGGUCUCAGCCUUAGAUCCAAGGACAGUCCAAGGAAGUCCUAAGACCAUGGAGUUGGUGAUCUGGGAUCUGGGUUUGCUGAUAUUUCUCACCGUGAAUCUCUUGGUGGUGUUUGUGGGCACGAGAGGGGCAGAGAAUGGAGAGUGAGGCUACCACAUGAAGCGUCACCAGAGCUGCUCCCUGCUGCCUGCUCAGAGCACCCCGGAUCCACUGUUCAAUCUGCACAAGAUUCGGGGUCCAGACAUGGGAGACUUCAGCUGCCUCAGAGGACCGUGGACAGGGAAGGCCAGCCUCGCAUCCCUCUGUCCAUGCCUGGAAUGACUUUAAUAACCAAGAGUUUUAUUUUUGAAUUUGUAGCUGUCGUUCACUUUUUACCCACCCAUUCAAUAAACCUUACAGAAUUGCUCCAU